UGGGGAAUAUUGGACAAUGGGCGAAAGCCUGAUCCAGCCAUGCCGCGUGUGUGAAGAAGGUCUUCGGAUUGUAAAGCACUUUAAGUUGAGAGGAAGGGCAGUAAGCGAAUACCUUGCUGUUUUGACGUUACCGACAGAAUAAGCACCGGCUAACUCUGUGCCAGCAGCCGCGGUAAUACAGAGGGUGCAAGCGUUAAUCGGAAUUACUGGGCGUAAAGCGCGCGUAGGUGGUUCGUUAAGUUGGAUGUGAAAGCCCCGGGCUCAACCUGGGAACUGCAUCCAAAACUGGCGAGCUAGAGUAGGGCAGAGGGUGGUGGAAUUUCCUGUGUAGCGGUGAAAUGCGUAGAUAUAGGAAGGAACACCAGUGGCGAAGGCGACCACCUGGGCUCAUACUGACACUGAGGUGCGAAAGCGUGGGGAGCAAACAGG
rnacentral:rRNA from 1 species